AUACUUUUGGCAGUACAUAUACUAAAAUUGCAACGAUACAGAGAAGAUCACCAUGGUCCCUACCCAAGGAUGAUACUCAAAAUCGGAAAACGUUCACUGUUUUU
rnacentral:snRNA from 1 species